GGAGGCAUAGCUCAGUUGGUAGAGCACCUGCUCCACACGCAGGGGGUCACAGGUUCAAGUCCUGUUGUCUCCACCA
rnacentral:tRNA from 1 species